GCGGAUAUGGCGAAAUUGGCAGACGCGCCAGACUUAGGAUCUGGUGCCUUAGGCGUGCAGGUUCGACUCCUGUUAUCCGCACCA
rnacentral:tRNA from 1 species